CCCUUAGAUGUUCUGGGCCGCACGCGCGCUACACUGACGAAUGCAACGAGCUUAUAACCUUGGCCGAAAGGUCUGGGUAAUCUCCAAAUUUCGUCGUGAUGGGGAUAGACUAUUGCAAUUAUUAAUCUUCAACGAGGAAUGCCUAGUAAGCGCAAGUCAUCAGCUUGCGUUGAUUACGUCCCUGCCCUUUGUACACACCGCCCGUCGCUCCUACCGAUUGAAUGGUCCGGUGAAGCGCUCGGACCGCGGCCUCUUGACGGUUCGCUGUCGAUUGGCUGUGGGAAGUUCGUUAAACCUUAUCAUUUAGAGGAAGGAGAAGUCGUAACA
rnacentral:rRNA from 1 species